UGAUGAAAUCUAAUUGGCUAUAUAUAUCUGCAUAUAUGUUGAGCUAUUAAUCCCAAAAAAACAGCGAUUUAUUCAAGAGAAUGCCAUGUUUUCAGAACAGUGGCUUUCUAAGUUUUAGAUCGACAAGAUAUUUCCGAACGAAGGUGGAAAGAAGUCAUGGUGACAGUUGAUAAAAAAAACUGGUUGGGUAUAUAGAGGAAAGAGUAAAUAUCAUAAAUAAAAUAUUUCACUUUGAAAUGUAGAUGCUAAAGAUUAUUAAUAAAAUAAAGUGUGAGCACCGGUAUGUCAGGUCUUGAAAUUAGCCGCAUGUAUUAGAGAACUUUAUGUACUUUUGCAUAAUUUCGCGAAAAGAAUUUUUCUAACAAUAGAGAAUAUCCUCAAAUAUUGGGAGAAGAGAAUAUUUACACUUAUGUAAUUUUAAAU